CAGGGAGGACAACAAAAUGUUUAAUAUUAUUAUUUUGUCACCUUAGGUCGAUCGGUAUCUCACGUUCUUAAUUUAUUAAGAAUUUCAAUUCCUAAGUUUUUCUAGGUCACACCCAUUAUUUUUUCCUGGGCCAUUAGCUCAGGUGGUUAGAGCGCACCCCUGAUAAGGGUGAGGUCCCUGGUUCAAGUCCAGGAUGGCCCAUAUCUCUAUGUUGGGGGUAUAGCUCAGUUGGUAGAGCGCCUGCUUUGCAAGCAGGAUGUCAGCGGUUCGAGUCCGCUUACCUCCACUGAUUACCACCUCUUCCAUAAUUUAGAAGAAAGGAAAUGUUUUGAGAUGUGAUCAAAUUCUGAACGAAUCUAGCUUCCUAAUAAAAUUAUUAAGAUGCUGGACUCAUUGAAUUAAUUUCAUUGUUUUCAGAGAACCUUGACAACUGCAUAGAUUAUUUUUUAAAGACAAUAAGCAUCUUUAAUGAUGCAGAUUUAUUAUUUUGUGCAAAUGCAUUAAUAACAAUUCUAUUAAGCUGAUGCUUCAA
rnacentral:tRNA from 1 species